rnacentral:rRNA from 1 species
GUACACUCCUGCGGGAGGCAGCAGUGGGGAAUAUUGGACAAUGGGCGCAAGCCUGAUCCAGCCAUGCCGCGUGAGUGAUGAAGGCCCUAGGGUUGUAAAGCUCUUUCACCGGUGAAGAUAAUGACGGUAACCGGAGAAGAAGCCCCGGCUAACUUCGUGCCAGCAGCCGCGGUAAUACGAAGGGGGCUAGCGUUGUUCGGAUUUACUGGGCGUAAAGCGCACGUAGGCGGACUAUUAAGUCAGGGGUGAAAUCCCGGGGCUCAACCCCGGAACUGCCUUUGAUACUGGUAGUCUUGAGUUCGAGAGAGGUGAGUGGAAUUCCGAGUGUAGAGGUGAAAUUCGUAGAUAUUCGGAGGAACACCAGUGGCGAAGGCGGCUCGCUGGCUCGAUACUGACGCUGAGGUGCGAAAGCGUGGGGAGCAAACAGGAUUAGAAACCCGAGUAGUCCC